AUUGAACGCUGGCGGCAGGCCUAACACAUGCAAGUCGAACGGUAACAGGAAGAAGCUUGCUUCUUUGCUGACGAGUGGCGGACGGGUGAGUAAUGUCUGGGAAACUGCCUGAUGGAGGGGGAUAACUACUGGAAACGGUAGCUAAUACCGCAUAACGUCGCAAGACCAAAGAGGGGGACCUUCGGGCCUCUUGCCAUCGGAUGUGCCCAGAUGGGAUUAGCUAGUAGGUGGGGUAACGGCUCACCUAGGCGACGAUCCCUAGCUGGUCUGAGAGGAUGACCAGCCACACUGGAACUGAGACACGGUCCAGACUCCUACGGGAGGCAGCAGUGGGGAAUAUUGCACAAUGGGCGCAGGCCUGAUGCAGCCAUGCCGCGUGUAUGAAGAAGGCCUUCGGGUUGUAAAGUACUUUCAGCGGGGAGGAAGGGAGUAAAGUUAAUACCUUGGCUCAUUGACGUUACCCGCAGAAGAAGCACCGGCUAACUCCGUG
rnacentral:rRNA from 1 species